rnacentral:rRNA from 1 species
UACGGAGGAUGCAAGCGUUAUCCGGAUUUAUUGGGUUUAAAGGGUGCGCAGGUUGUUUGAUAAGUCAGUGGUGAAAGUCUGUCGCUUAACGGUAGGAUUGCCAUUGAUACUGUUGGACUUGAAUAUGGAUGAGGUAGGCGGAAUGUGUAGUGUAGCGGUGAAAUGCAUAGAUAUUACACAGAACACCGAUUGCGAAGGCAGCUUACUAAUCCAUCAUUGACGCUGAGGCAUGAAAGCGUGGGGAU